rnacentral:tRNA from 2 species
GGGGAAUUAGCUCAGCUGGGAGAGCGUCUGCCUUACAAGCAGGAUGUCGGCGGUUCGAGCCCGUCAUUCCCCA